UAUAAUGUGAGUUCAUCAUUUGGAGCAAGAAUAACCACAAGGGAGAGAGAGGUAUCAUUGCAUAAUUCCUGGCUGCAUCAUACACAUAGCUGAUGAAGAAAGCUGAAUGUUUGACUCUAGCUACAAUUCAGUUUCCAGCCAUUGCAGAGUUCGAGUGUGUCUCAUAUUCUGAUGCUGAGGACAAAGCUGAGGAGACUGAGGUGUGCUGUGUGUUUGGAUCAAGUAGCCCUCACUGCCUGUGGAGCAUCUUCUAUAUGACCCUAUAGGUAAAAUAUUUC